CCUACGGGCGGCAGCAGAGGGGAAUAUUGGACAAUGGGGGCAACCCUGAUCCAGCCAUGCCGCGUGUGUGAAGAAGGCCCUCGGGUUGUAAAGCACUUUCAGUGAGGAAGAACGCCUGGUGGUUAAUACCCAUCAGGAAAGACAUCACUCACAGAAGAAGCACCGGCUAACUCCGUGCCAGCAGCCGCGGUAAUACGGAGGGUGCGAGCGUUAAUCGGAAUUACUGGGCGUAAAGCGCGCGUAGGUGGCUUGAUAAGCCGGUUGUGAAAGCCCCGGGCUCAACCUGGGAACGGCAUCCGGAACUGUCAAGCUAGAGUGCAGGAGAGGAAGGUAGAAUUCCCGGUGUAGCGGUGAAAUGCGUAGAGAUCGGGAGGAAUACCAGUGGCGAAGGCGGCCUUCUGGACUGACACUGACACUGAGGUGCGAAAGCGUGGGUAGCAAACAGGAUUAGAUACCCUGGUAGUC
rnacentral:rRNA from 1 species